UCUCUCAGUUCGGACUGGAGUCUGCAACCCGACUCCACGAAGCUGGAUUCGCUAGUAAUCGCGCAUCAGCCACGGCGCGGUGAAUACGUUCCCGGGCCUUGUACACACCGCCCGUCAAGCCAUGGGAGCCGGGGGUACCUGAAGUGCGUAACCGCGAGGAGCGCCCUAGGGUAAAACUGGUGACUGGGGCUAAGUCGUAACAAGGUAGC
rnacentral:rRNA from 1 species